GACACUCCUUUUGAGCUGGGAAACCAUCAUCCAUGACAUGAUUUAGCAUUUAACAGGCUGCUGAGUUGAAAAUAGAUUGAGAGGGGAGGGGGGCCAAUUAAGAGAGGCCUGAUUACAAUCCAGGUGAACAAAGAUGGCAACUGCUGGUCUCAGGCGGGUCACAAUAGAGGUUGUGAAAGCAGUCGGAUUCUAAACAUGUUUUUAAAGAUUCUUUUCCUAGAUGGUUAUUAGCGUAUUGAGCAGAGUUCCCUGUGCUAUACGGAACCCUCCAAUGAUUUUAGAUAACAAGCACCAGCCUCUGAUGGUAAACCAGGCUUCAUCUUGGCCUCAUCCAUGCCAGGUGACCUUGGCAAACCCACUUAACCCCUGGGACCUCAAUUUCCCCAGCUGUAAAUUGAGCUCAGCUUCUGUGGCCCUCCUUCUCUGCAUCUUGAGCCAAGCCCAAGAAUCCUGCAACCCACCUCCUUGGAAACCUCAGCACAAAAGGGAGCGAUUUAGAACUGGAGCCCUGGUCUAUGGUAUCAUGGAUCUGAGACAGCAUUCCACCCCUGUGAGAGGCAUAGGCUGCAGCUGGGGGAUUACAGAGCCGCCUCCGGAGGCCACCACCACCACCGGUGGCACCGCCAGCCCAAGAGGCCCCACUCUUGUCAGAAUAUUAACACCCUGGAUGCAUUUGUGUGUUACUCAUGAUUGCGACCACGGUUCCAAAAGGAUUAUGCAGCAUGCAUAUUUAUGAGACAAGCCCAGACAAAGAC
ensembl:lncRNA